UCUCUCUUUUUCUUUUUUUCUUUUUUCUUCUCUCUUUCUCUCUUGAAGAAAACCUAGUGUCAACUUCUUCUUAUCUUCUUCUCCUCUUCCUCUCCUCUCAUCUCUGUCUGAUUUCUCUUUUUGUUUCUUACUGGGCAUCGAUUGGAUCUAUUUUGCUGGAUAGUUUUUUUUGGGUAUCUUUUAAGGUUCAGAUCUGGUUUUUCUUGUACAGAUUCGUCGAUUCGCUCUCAGCUCAGCAGCAAUGACGGUGACGUUCCUCCUGCCAUAUGCUUACUCAGUUUGGGUUUUUUUUCCUUCAACCAUGCGCCGACAAAUGACUAAUGAGGUGGUCUUGAUGGAUACUAAGGUGAUGACUUGCCCCUGAAA